rnacentral:rRNA from 1 species
UGCGAAGGGGGCUAGCGUUGUUCGGAUUUACUGGGCGUAAAGCGCACGUAGGCGGGUCGUUAAGUCGAGGGUGAAAUCCUGGAGCUCAACUCCAGAACUGCCUUCGAUACUGGCGACCUAGAGUCCGGAAGAGGUGGGUGGAACUCCUAGUGUAGAGGUGGAAUUCGUAGAUAUUAGGAAGAACACCAGUGGCGAAGGCGGCUCACUGGUCCGGUACUGACGCUGAGGUGCGAAAGCGUGGGGAGCAAACAGG